rnacentral:ncRNA from 1 species
AAUUAAUUUGGUUUUGGUUAUAAUAUAGGCUAUUAUUAGGUUAAUAUAUGUUAGAUUUUUAUUAUAGUCGUUUUAUUUAUUUAUAUUGUUAUUUAUUUUGUUUAAUAUAAAUUAAGUAAUAAAUAAUAUUUUUAAUAUUUUAUUAUAAUGGUUAAAGUGAGUUACGCAGUAUUUAUUAUUAUACAAUGAAUGAGAGUUUGAUAUAGUUAAUGUAAGUUAAAAGUGGUUAAAUUGGUGCCAGCAUCUGCGGUUAUACUAAUGUUUUGAGUUUAUAUUAAUGUAGUAUAAAAUAAAGUAAUAAUUAUUAGUAUAUUUAGAUUAAUUAAGGGCAAGUAGUUGUAGGUAAAAUUUAAUGGUUGUUAUUAAUGAUAUUUUUCUAAUAUAUAAAGUCUUUGAAAGUAAGAAGAAAGACUAGGAUUAGAUACCCUAUUAUUCUUUAUUUUAAAAAUUUUAUUACUUAAGUAGUGUGAACAGGAAAUUUGUAAAAAAUAUGUAAGAUGUAUUUAGAAUGUUUAAAACUUAAAAGGCUUGGCGGUAUUAUAUAUCCUUCCAGGGGAGUUUGCUUAUUAAUUUGAUAAUCCUCAAUUUAUACUUACUUUUUUUUGAAUAUACUAUAAAUCAGUUUGUAUAUUGCUGUCAUCAGUUUAUUUUGUAAAAAUUUUAUAAGAGACUUUAUAAUGAGGUGAUUGGUAUGUCAAGUCAAAAUGCAGCUAAUAAAAAAGGUUUAUAAAGUGAGCUACAAUUUAUAAUUUUUAAAUCGGAUUGGAUUAUGUAAUUUAUCCAUGAAGUUGGACUUGGUAGUAAUAUUAAUAAUUAGUAGGUUUUUAUGAAUAUGGUUUUAUAAUGCGUACAUAUCGCCCGUCGCUCUUGUUGGAAAAUAAGAUAAGUCGUAACACAGUAGAGGUAGUGGAAACUGUUUCUGGUUUAAA